UGUAUUUCAACCAUAUGUUUUCUGAAUUUAGCGGAGGUAUUGUAGCUGCAUAUGGUAGCGUAAAGAGCCAUAACCCCGGCCGAGGCUAGCUGCUAGCCGAGCUUUGUAUGCAUUGUUUCAAGGCGCCGAACGGUGAGCAAGGAUCGCCAAACGACACCUAUGGAUUCGCUACGUUAUGUAAACAUCGACCCGAUUUACGGCGACAUUCCGGUAGCACUAGAGGGCGCUCCUGCUCCAGCAACUCUGUAUACCUGGAGAACGGAAGACGUAAACGGAAAACGUAUGUGACAUUGAAAAGUUUCUUUGGGGAUAUAAUUAAAUAAGAUUGACCUAUAGACAGACCCGGGAUGUCCUGCGCCAUUGGCCAAUUAUUUCUCUCUGCAUAGUGUCACCUAGCUCUUUUCCAAAGAACAGGAAACCAUCCAGACAACCCAUUGGGUUCUCAACAAGCUUUAAUUGAUUGACCAUCAGAGCUGUCAGUAUCAUCAUCAUCAUCAUCGUCAUCAACAUCAUCAUCAUCAUCAUCAUCAUAGUGGUGGUAGUGGAACACCACAAGCAUUGGUUGAAUGAUGGCCGGCUUCUAAGGGUCUGUGUGCUGGACUGCAGGGGCCUCGGAAACAUGCAGCAGACAGACAGACAGGUGGACAGACAGACAAACAGACAGACGGGUAGACGAACAUACAGACGGGUUUGAUACAGACAGGGGCUGAGAGUGAGACUUGAGAGGUAGACAGAGAUAUUGACAGGUAGAUAGAAAGAGAGACAGACUCAGGUAGACAGAGAGAUAGAUAGGAAGACAGAGAGGCAGGUGUAAAGAAAGAGUCAGGACAGACAAGCAGAAGAACGGGCAGACGGGUCGAUAGAAAGACACACAGUCGGAGUUGACAGGUAGCUGUUGUGUUAUUUACAUAAAGGUAGUAGGCA